rnacentral:rRNA from 1 species
ACGCUGGCGGCGGCUUACACAUGCAAGUCGAGCGGAGAGAGGUAGCUUGCUACUGAUCUUAGCGGCGGACGGGUGAGUAAUGCUUAGGAAUCUGCCUAUUAGUGGGGGACAACAUUUCGAAAGGAAUGCUAAUACCGCAUACGUCCUACGGGAGAAAGCAGGGGAUCUUCGGACCUUGCGCUAAUAGAUGAGCCUAAGUCGGAUUAGCUAGUUGGUGGGGUAAAGGCCUACCAAGGCGACGAUCUGUAGCGGGUCUGAGAGGAUGAUCCGCCACACUGGGACUGAGACACGGCCCAGACUCCUACGGGAGGCAGCAGUGGGGAAUAUUGGACAAUGGGCGCAAGCCUGAUCCAGCCAUGCCGCGUGUGUGAAGAAGGCCUUAUGGUUGUAAAGCACUUUAAGCGAGGAGGAGGCUACUUUAGUUAAUACCUAGAGAUAGUGGACGUUACUCGCAGAAUAAGCACCGGCUAACUCUGUGCCAGCAGCCGCGGUAAUACAGAGGGUGCAAGCGUUAAUCGGAUUUACUGGGCGUAAAGCGCGCGUAGGCGGCUAAUUAAGUCAAAUGUGAAAUCCCCGAGCUUAACUUGGGAAUUGCAUUCGAUACUGGUUAGCUAGAGUGUGGGAGAGGAUGGUAGAAUUCCAGGUGUAGCGGUGAAAUGCGUAGAGAUCUGGAGGAAUACCGAUGGCGAAGGCAGCCAUCUGGCCUAACACUGACGCUGAGGUGCGNAAGCAUG